GACGAACGCUGGCGGCGUGCUUAACACAUGCAAGUCGAACGGAAAGGCCCUUCGGGGCACUCGAGUGGCGAACGGGUGAGUAACACGUGGGUGAUCUGCCCUGCACUUUGGGAUAAGCCUGGGAAACUGGGUCUAAUACCGAAUAGGACCACGCGCUUCAUGGUGUGUGGUGGAAAGCUUUUGCGGUGUGGGAUGGGCCCGCGGCCUAUCAGCUUGUUGGUGGGGUAAUGGCCUACCAAGGCGACGACGGGUAGCCGGCCUGAGAGGGUGACCGGCCACACUGGGACUGAGAUACGGCCCAGACUCCUACGGGAGGCAGCAGUGGGGAAUAUUGCACAAUGGGCGCAAGCCUGAUGCAGCGACGCCGCGUGAGGGAUGACGGCCUUCGGGUUGUAAACCUCUUACACCAGGGACGAAGCGCAAGUGACGGUACCUGGAGAAGAAGCACCGGCCAACUACGUGCCAGCCGCCGCGGUAAUAC
rnacentral:rRNA from 1 species